CGUUAUAUAACAAGAUAAACAGGAUACAAUGUGACCUGGUGGCAGCCCACUGUGACGCAACACAUCUUUGGAGGGGGUAUCUUGCAGGCAGGCCUCCUUGACAUCAGUCUGCUGCUGCGCCAUCUUCACUCAGUCAUGUCUGCACAGUUGGUCGUCGUUCUGCUGGCCCUCACCUCCUUGUGUGCCGCUGCAUCACCGGAACAUGACUGCAAAGAUCUGGUGAAGCCUCUUUUACUGGACAACCACAGCCCUAUCUUCGGGAAAUGGGUCCUCCAUGUGGGCUCAUGGGACACGCCGGGCCUGAAGAACGACCUGGUGGUCGUGAACACAUCGUGGAUUGAACUGUCUGCAUCCUCACGGAGCGACAUCAUCUUCCUCUACUGGGGUGACCGCCUGAACGAGGGUAGAUGUCUUCAGGGAUCAGCUGACGUCACCGUGACUGGCAUGACCAGUAACGCCACCUACAACAACAAAGGCCACCCUUUCUAUUACAAGAGCAAGUACUACGAGACCUGCGCUGAGUGCCUCCUGUCCGAAGACACCACACUCCUGCCGCACGACAAAUCUGUGGACCGAUAACUUUUCCUCUGAACCCGAACUGGUAAACUGAAGCCUUCUGAGUUGGAGACCUUCAAGAAGCAAGCGGCCUGUCUUAAUUUCCCUGAUGAGUACUAUUUUAUGGGCACAAACGACAUGUGCCCUGACAACAGGAAGACUGAGACUCCUGCCUCUGCAAACUAAAACUUGAAACAUGCACGUGCAGACGAGCAAAUGUCUUACUAACGCAGGGUGUCCUUAAAUGUCCCCUUGUGCUGGGGAAUAACGUUUUCAAAUACAUCAAAGAUGCUAUUUUAAUCCAUUUCUAAUGGAUAAAGCUUUGGCCUGGACAAGAGGUCAUCAGGUGGUCCCCAACGUUCACCGAGUGUUUCGACCCUUAACCACAACACUCUCCGGUUGGUGGGUCAGCAGUGAUUGGCCAGAUCACUGCCCCUCUCAUCCAGGCUUCCAGCUAUUGUCCUCUCUUUUAUGCCAGAGCCAACAGGAGGCUCUCUCUGCCGCUUCUCCCAGCGUACGAACGGCUGUUUUCCUCGAGUGACCUCUCAAUCCGACCUUUGUCAUCAGAUUCCACACAGAUUGAGCAGGGAAUCCUCGACAUCCAACUUCCACUGUCAUCAGCCAUGCCAUCCACCCCUUGUCCCGGCAGUCCUGGACAAGUUGUUGGUACUUUGUUUUCUUCCUCUCUGCCGCUUCCUCACAUCCCUCCUCCCAUGGGACAGUAAGUUCCACCAGGAUGAUUUUCUUUCCCACUGGGGACCACAUAACUAUAUCUGGUCUUAGAGUGGUGGACAGUACCGCCUCUGGGAAGAGGAGCUUCCUCCCCAGGUCAACCUCCAUCUCCCAACACUGGGCCAACUGCAGGAAGUUUUGCUUGGCUUGGCCUUGGACAACUGGUCUAUGACCCUCUUUCACGAAGGUGAUGGUGCUCAGCAGUGGCUUAGUUUUGGCGUGGUGUUUCUUUCUCCUCUCUCGCUCUAAGAUGUUUGCGAGCAUUGCCAACACCCUGUCAUGGCGCCACCUGUAUCUUCCCUGGGUCAAUGCUGUUUUGCACCCAGAAAGAAUAUGCGCCAUAGUUCCUUUACAGCCACACAACCUGCACAGCGGGUCCUCCCUCAUUCCCCACCUAUGCAAGUUGACUGGGGUCGGCAGGGUGUCGUAUACUGCUCGGAGCAGAAACGAGAUACGAAACGGCUCCAGCCUCCACAGUUCACUCCACGUCACGGUCCUCUUGGGAAGGUUCCACCUUGUCCAGGCACCUUGGGUUGCGAGCUCGACGGCUUUAGCUCUUCUUCCUUCUUCCUCAAGGUUUCGAACUUCAUCCUGGAUCAUUGUCCUCUUUUCCCUGGGAGUGGACUUGGACCACUGCUGGAAAUGUGAUGUUCCUAGACCCUGUCUUCCAGUGCAAGGGCUUCCGAUGGUAUCUUUGGUCCUGAGAGAUGAUUCUGCCUGGGUAACAGCAGCGCUGGCGGCCCACUUCCUGCCAGAUCUUGUUCUUAUUCCAGCUUCCCUGAUGAGUUGAUCUUGGGAGUCCCUAUACGUCAGGGAAAGUCUGCAUUUUGCGACUUUAAACUCCUCCACAACUGAAGACAGGGGGAGCUGGAGCUGACCCGACCUUAUGUAGAGCCCCGUAGAUGUAAAGCUUGGGGGUAUUCCAAACCAUUUACGAAGAUGCUUGUUGAACUUCCUCUCCAACCCUUCAACUGUUGUUAUGGCCACUUCGUACACAGUGAGAAGCCACAUAAGUCUUUGGAGUAGGCCAUGCUGGUAGAUCCAGCACUUGUAUUUCCCAGGCAGACCAGACUUGCCAAUCUUUUUCAACCAUUCUUCAACUUGAUUUUCGGUGUUGGAGAUGCUGUUUUUAUCUGUCAUGGAAUCAUCAUACCACUUUCCAAGGCAUUUAAUAAACAUGGAAUAACUAGAAGACACGUUGAACUGUACUGUACAAUAAUUGUUUAGGUCGGAACAAAAACGAGUUGAAUAGACAAAAUAAAACAUUAUUCACUGAUUUUUUCUAAGCCCUUAGUAAAAGAACCUUCCACAAAGACUGUUGCCGGGUAACAUUGUGGUGACCCUUUGCUGGGAAAUCGACCUUUGUUACACUGCAGAAAAGCUUUUGGCGAAUGGUGGCACUUGGCCCAGAGUCCUUUCAAGCGUCAAGAUGUUCAUUCAGCGCUCGGUCAAAACAUGAUGAGAAACAAAAUUCCCCUGUGCAGAAUUCACCUUUUCUCCACUCCUUUACGGUAACCAUUUUGAAAAAAAGCACUCUUUUCUCUCGAGAGAGAGAUCAAUGCUCGGCAGUAACACUCUGCAGUGUGGCAGUUCAACAUGACUCUCGUGCCUGCCUUUACCUUUUUGUUGGCCCUCGCCACAUUUUGUGAUGCUUCUGUACCAGACUGCAAGGACCUGGUCCAACCCUUCAUGCCAGAGGAUCCAAAACUGGUAACAUUUCGUUAUUUUUAUCGUCUUAUUUUUUGGUAGAGAAUGUAGCGCAGUGUAGUUCUAUGUUAGAGGUGUGACAUUCGCAAACGAAUCGAGUCUUUUGAACUGCUCUUUUAAUGGAACAAUGAGAACCGAUUCCCGGUUGAGAGCCGUUUUUUAUGCACGUGCAAGUUUGGUGUCGGUAAUUGCUCGCUUCGCACCUGCGUGCCGCCCGACUGGCAACUGGACAAGAGAAUGAGUCAGAGUUAAGGAAACUUACCAUUUAGAUUAACUCUUUUUAAAUUUAAGGAUAAAUGUAUUUUUACACAUAAGAACAGUGAAAUACAUUACAUAUAUUUACAUGUAUACAUACAGACA